rnacentral:snRNA from 1 species
AGAUGUGAGGGCGAGCUGGCUGUGACAUCUGUCACCUCAUUGAUCGCCAGGGUUGAUUCGUCUUAUCUGGCUGGCUAGGCGGGUGUCCCCUUCCUCCCUCACCACUCUGUGUGCAUCCCUCCGGAAGAUGCGCGCUCGGUGGAAGAGGACGACCAUCCUUGAUAGUUCUCGGUCAAGGGUAUACGAGUAGCUGCGCUCCCCUGCUAGAAUCUCCAAACAAGCUCGCAAUAAAUGGAUUUUAAGUCACUACAUUGGAGGUAAUUUGUUACGGCAGCAACAGAAAACUAAUAUGAAGUCUGUUUUA